rnacentral:misc_RNA from 1 species
AUGGGUACUCUUCGUUCAAGUCAAAUUAUCUGUUUUUCGAUAGUUCAGUUGGGCAAACAAAGCGCAAAGUAGUUGCUUUAUUGAGUUUGGGUGGUCGGGAAACUUCAUACCUGCGUGGAUUUGGUGUGACUUCAAUAGGACCAUUAGAUUUCAAAUUUGGGGGAGUUGUAGUUGCUGCUUCAUCAUCGUCCACUGUUGCUUUUCUAGGUAUACUUCUGGGUUUUGUUUGUCUUUGAAUGUCUUUUUAUUUGGUG